ACCGGUUUAGAUAAAACAUA
rnacentral:snRNA from 1 species